UGGGAGGCCAUGGAAGGUCUCUCUGAUGCAGACUGAUACCAAGCACAGGGCCAGGACAGAGCAGGGACACAAUAAAUAUCUACUGACUCUGACUUUAGUGUAGCGAUUCAUAUAGUCAAGGUAUGUGCCAAGUGCAUUGGGAGCAAGGAGGUGGGACUGUCUAGGUCUGCUUGAGGGGAUGGAAGGGUCACAGAGACAAGGAAGACCUGGGACUUGAAGGAGAAGAGAUCUAAUCACCGGCUUGAGAGGCCAUGAGGAUGAGCCGAAUAAGAUUGAUGAACCUGUCAGGUACACAAUAGCAGUGGGAAAAGCCUGGUUUCCUUCCUUCUCUCGAGCAGCUGGACGAGGGAGGGCGGCGUGGGGAUGUGGUCGGGCGGCAGAUGUCACGUCUCACUGCAUUUCUGCCUGUCACAGGCUGCUGGCCUGGGCGCUGAGCCCGCUCCCGCCUGAAUUCUCCCGACAGCUGCCCUGCUUCUCCACUUGGACUUGCCGGGGCUCCCGUUGGAACCAAGAAAAGCCUCUGCUCUGCUCCAGUCACACACAAAAAAAUAGCAAGAAUGAUGCAAUAUGUGUCUCUCAUGGCCACAAGCCACGGAGAAGGUCCAGGCGUCCAGAUCCCUACCCCAAAUUCACGCCAGCAUUGCAAAUCAAUGCCUUCUUGUUCCCAUGAAUCCUGGGUAACUCCCACCACUCUACCCGGCAGCAGCUCUGUCACCCCCUUAUCUCGUGACAAAGGCCACCAACCUAGCCACUGAGGCACAAAAUUGGCCGGGUGCAGAGAAAGAGUUUCUAAGUACCUAAUCCCUGUAACCUGACCUUUAAUUCUAAUAACAGUGACAUUUAUUAAAGAUUAUGUGCCUGGCACUGUUCUGAGCUCUUCAUAUUAACUCAUUUUAUCUUUACCAACGUAUUUUGAGGUAGGCACAGUUUAUAUCACCAUUUUACAGGAGGAGAAACGGAGUCUCAGGGGGAGUGAUGUCAGCAUUAUGGCAGCAUGAGACAUUCCUCCAUUCUCUCCCCUUUUAACAAUGAAUUAAACAUCCAUCCAUGAAGAUGUCUCAGAGUGA
rnacentral:lncRNA from 1 species